GACGAACGCUGGCGGCGUGCUUAACACAUGCAAGUCGAACGGAAAGGCCCUGCUUUUGUGGGGUGCUCGAGUGGCGAACGGGUGAGUAACACGUGAGUAACCUGCCCUUGACUUUGGGAUAACUUCAGGAAACUGGGGCUAAUACCGGAUAGGAGCUCCUGCUGCAUGGUGGGGGUUGGAAAGUUUCGGCGGUGGGGGAUGGACUCGCGGCUUAUCAGCUUGUUGGUGGGGUAGUGGCUUACCAAGGCUUUGACGGGUAGCCGGCCUGAGAGGGUGACCGGCCACAUUGGGACUGCGAUACGGCCCAGACUCCUACGGGAGGCAGCAGUGGGGAAUAUUGCACAAUGGGCGGAAGCCUGAUGCAGCAAUGCCGCGUGCGGGAUGACGGCCUUCGGGUUGUAAACCGCUUUCGCCUGUGACGAAGCGUGAGUGACGGUAAUGGGUAAAGAAGCACCGGCUAACUACGUG
rnacentral:rRNA from 1 species